rnacentral:rRNA from 1 species
AUUGAACGCUGGCGGCAGGCCUAACACAUGCAAGUCGAGCGGAUGAAGGGAGCUUGCUCCUGGAUUCAGCGGCGGACGGGUGAGUAAUGCCUAGGAAUCUGCCUGGUAGUGGGGGAUAACGUCCGGAAACGGGCGCUAAUACCGCAUACGUCCUGAGGGAGAAAGUGGGGGAUCUUCGGACCUCACGCUAUCAGAUGAGCCUAGGUCGGGUUAGCUAGUUGGUGGGGUAAAGGCCUACCAAGGCGACGAUCCGUAACUGGUCUGAGAGGAUGAUCAGUCACACUGGAACUGAGACACGGUCCAGACUCCUACGGGAGGCAGCAGUGGGGAAUAUUGGACAAUGGGCGAAAGCCUGAUCCAGCCAUGCCGCGUGUGUGAAGAAGGUCUUCGGAUUGUAAAGCACUUUAAGUUGGGAGGAAGGGCAGUAAGUUAAUACCUUGCUGUCUUGACGUUACCAACAGAAUAAGCACCGGCUAACUUCGUG